UUCGACCAUAUAACGUUGAAACACCAGAGCUAGUACGAUCACUGAAGUUAAGCAUCAUCGAGCUUGGUCAAUACUUAGAUGGACGACCGCUUGGGAAUAUUAGGAGCUGUAA